UCGGGAAUUUUGGGCAAUGGGCGAAAGCCUGACCCAGCAACGCCGCGUGAGGGAUGAAGUAUUUCGGUAUGUAAACCUCGAAAGAAUGGGAAGAAUAAAUGACGGUACCAUUUAUAAGCUCCGGCUAACUACGUGCCAGCAGCCGCGGUAAUACGUAGGGAGCAAGCGUUGUUCGGAUUUACUGGGCGUAAAGGGCGCGUAGGCGGCGCGGUAAGUCACUUGUGAAAUCUCUGAGCUUAACUCAGAACGGCCAAGUGAUACUGCUGGGCUAGAGUGCGGAAGAGGCAACCGGAAUUCUUGGUGUGGCGGUGAAAUGCGUAGAUACCAAGAGGAACACCUGAGGCGAAGGCGGGUUGCUGGGCCGACACUGACGCUGAUGCGCGAAAGCCAGGGGAGCAAACG
rnacentral:rRNA from 1 species